rnacentral:rRNA from 1 species
CCUCAGGGAGGGACAAUAGUAGAGACUGCUAAUACCGCAUACGAUCUAACCUUGGCAUCGAGGAUGGAUGAAAGGUGGCCUCUAUUUAUAAGCUAUCACUGAAGGAGGGGAUUGCGUCUGAUUAGCUAGUUGGAGGGGUAACGGCCCACCAAGGCGAUGAUCAGUAGCCGGUCUGAGAGGAUGAACGGCCACAUUGGGACUGAGACACGGCCCAG